rnacentral:rRNA from 1 species
UACAGAGGGUGCGAGCGUUGUCCGGAAUCACUGGGCGUAAAGGGCGCGUAGGCGGCCUGGCAAGUGGAAGGUGAAAUCCCUCGGCUUAACCGAGGAACUGCCCUCCAAACUGCUAGGCUUGAGGCCGGGAGAGGUGAGUGGAAUUCCCAGUGUAGCGGUGAAAUGCGUAGAUAUUGGGAGGAACACCAGUGGCGAAGGCGGCUCACUGGACCGGAACUGACGCUGAGGCGCGAAAGCGUGGGGAGCAAACGGG